GCACUGCUGAGAAGUCCCGCAAUAGGACGAAACGGCAGUCCAGUGC
rfam:Schistosoma rodhaini strain Burundi genome assembly, scaffold: SROB_scaffold0001808